GGGGGGGGGGGGGAAUCAGAACGACCAUUUUUGGGGUGUUUUGGGCUUUUCUUGGGGGUCUAAACCAAGUCCUUGUGCACAAUGAAUCCUCGUGCAAGGCCCUAGUGCAAGACACGGCACGUCCUCGUGCAAGGCACUGAUGGAAGGCACUUGUCCUCGUGCAAGACCCUCGUGCAAAAGACCUUGUGUAGGGUGUCAAUGUGAGGCUCUGGCCCUUGUGCAAGAUGCUUGUGCAACGCACAGCUAUUGGCAAGGUCCUUGUGCAAGGUCCUUGUGCACAAGGCUCUUGCUCUUAUGAUCCUCGUGCGAGAUCCUCGUGCAGGGGCCGCUCUUGCUGAUGGUGUUCACAUGGGUUUGUUGCACAAGUUCAGUGUGUAAUGCACUUGUGCAAGGCUCAUUGCUAUGCGUAGUCUCCAUUGGAGCCUCUUGUGCAAGGUCCUCGUGCAAGCCUCAUCUUCCUGCAUGGUCCACAGCCAAAGCUCUUGUGCAAGACUUAUUGCCAUGCAAGGUCUGGUCUGCAUUGGAAGCUCUUGUGCAAGGUCCUUGUGCAAGGCUAUUUCCAUGCAUGGUCUCCAUUGGAAGCUCUUGUGCAAGGUCCUCGUGCAAGGCUCAUUGCCAUGCAUGGUCUCCAUUGGAAGCUCUUGUGCAAGGUCCUCGUGCAAGGUCCUCGUGCAAGCCUCAUCUUCCUGCAUGGUCCACAGCCAAAGCUCUUGUGCAAGGCCCUUGUGCAAGGCUCAUUGCCAUGCAUGGUCUGCACUGGAGGCUCUUGUGCAAGGCUAUUGGCAUGCAUGGUCUGGUCUGCAUUGGAGGCUCUUGUGCAAGGUCCUCGUGCAAGGCUAUUUCCAUGCAUGGUCUCCAUUGGAAGCUCUUGUGCAAGGUCCUCGUGCAAGGUCCACGUGCAAGGCUCAUUGCCAUGCAUGGUCUCCAUUGGAGGCUCUUGUGCAAGGUCCUCGUGCAAGGUCCACGUGCAAGGCUCAUUGCCAUGCAUGGUCUCCAUUGGAGGCUCUUGUGCAAGGCCCUUGUGCAAGGUCCUCGUGCAAACCACUCAACCCACACUCCAAGAAUCCCAACCUCCCAAUUCCAAGAGUCUCUCACACCGAAUCCUCGUGCAAAUCCUCGUGCAAAUCCCCCCCCCUUAUAUUUGCACGAGGGUGGGGGGGGGUCUCUCAUAUGAGCCGCUCCUCUGGGGGCAGCUUUAAUGGGGGGGGGGCCGGGGGGGGCCCUCGUGCACCGUCCUGUUCCUGUCGGCUGGGUCGAUACGUUCCUUCCGUGCGACGUUUUUCACGGAGCCGAAAAAUCCCAUAAAGAAAAAACCCGAAAAGGGCAAAAAAGGCCAAAACCCCAAAAACGGACAGAGCGGCCACUGCGCCCACCUAUAGGGGGAUAUAGGGGGGAUAUAUAGGGAUAUAGGGGAUAUAUGGGGGGGUAAGUAUGGGGGGGGUGGGUGCAUAUAGGGGAGGGUAUGGGGGGGUAAGGGUAUAGGGGAGGGGGGGAUAUAGAAGGAUGUUAUGGGGGGGUAUAUAGGGUUAUGGGGUGGUAAUUUGGGGGAUAGUAGGGUGAUGUGUGGGGGGGAAUGUAGGGUUAUGGGUGGUAUUAGUAGGGGAGGGGGGGGAUAUGGGGGAUGUAUGGGGGGGAUAUGGGGGGGUGUAUAUAGGAGGAGAGAGGAGAGAGAGAGAGGUAUAUAGAGGAGGGGGGGUAUAUGGGUUAUGCGUUGGUAAUAUGGGGGUAUAAGG
rnacentral:lncRNA from 1 species